UACAAGUUUUUGUUUUCAGAGGCACUUGG
rnacentral:piRNA from 1 species